AAGGAGGAAGACCUGGCAUGGCUUGGAGAUAUUGGAACUUGCUGAGUGCAUCCUGUCAGCUCUCUGGGUCAGAAAUGCAUGAGGAACUCUGUUAAUCUUUCACAGAAUCAUUUAGGAUGGAAAAAAACCUCGAAGAGCAUCGAGUCCAAUCUUUGACUGAUUGAUCACCCUGUCAACUAAACCACAGAACUAAGUGCUGUGUCCAGUCAUUUCUUGAACACCUCCAUAGACAAAAGCUGGCUGGGAGUUGCUGAUCAUGCUCAUGGGCAGACUGGGUAUCAUUUAGAAGGUGUGUGAACACCAUGUAAAUCCUGAUGCAGAUUGGCCUCACUGAUUUUUGCUGUUGACAAAGUGAGAGAAGACACAUGUCACAAGAGACCUGAGCUGCUCUGAGGAAGCUGAAAUGCAUUUGAGGGUGAGUUGAACCACUCUGCAAGCUCCACUGGUGGAGUGAACAGUUCUCGGACCUGGAUAUAUUGAAUAGUUCUGGGAUGACUAUAGGGAGUGUUCAGAGAAAACACAAUCAGCUAUGUGUA